GGAACGAACGCUGGCGGCAUGCCUAAUACAUGCAAGUCGAACGAACACUCUGACUUCGGUUGGGGUGUUAGUGGCGCACGGGUGCGUAACGCGUGGGAAUCUGCCCUUGGGUUCGGAAUAACAGUUGGAAACGACUGCUAAUACCGGAUGAUAUCGAAAGAUCAAAGAUUUAUCGCCCAGGGAUGAGCCCGCGUAGGAUUAGCUAGUUGGUGGGGUAAAGGCUCACCAAGGCGACGAUCCUUAGCUGGUCUGAGAGGAUGAUCAGCCACACUGGGACUGAGACACGGCCCAG
rnacentral:rRNA from 1 species